rnacentral:rRNA from 1 species
AACGAACGCUGGCGGCGCGUCUUAAGCAUGCAAGUCGAACGGCAAGAUUGGUGCUUGCACCGAUCCUAGAGUGGCGGACUGGUGCGUAACGCGUGGGUGACGUACCCUAAGGAUGGGGAUAGCUGGUAGAAAUAUCAGAUAAUACCGAAUAUCCUUAUUGUUGUUAGCGGACAGUAAGGAAAGGAGCUUUGGCUUCGCCUAAGGAUCGGCCCGCGUUCUAUUAGCUAGUUGGUGAGGUAACGGCUCACCAAGGCGACGAUAGUUAUCCGGCCUAAGAGGGUGAACGGAAACAUUGGGACUGAGAUACGGCCCAGACUCCUACGGGAGGCAGCAGCUAAGAAUAUUCGGCAAUGGAGGAAACUCGGACGGAGCGACGCCGCGUGGAGGAUGAGGGCCGGAAGGUUGUAAAAUCCUCUUUAGCAAGAAGAAUAAACGGUACAGGGAAUGGUAGAGUGGUGACGGUAUUGCUUGAAUAAGCAACGGCUAAUUACGUGCCAGCCGCCGCGGUAAUAC